CCGUGUAAUGCUCUGUUGGAACAAUGGGAUUUGCGCAUACACCAAGGAUCGUUCUAUACCCUAUGCCAGCAUGCUGUAGAAGAUAUUCAACAUUGUUUGGUUGCCUGUCUCUGUAUUGCUAGGAUCUGGGAGGCUCUUCAGACUAAUCAUCUAUCUGUCUACCACUUUUACUCUUUGGAAGACCUCAUCCAUCUUACCACCGAUCCAAGCAUUCCUUAGC
rnacentral:lncRNA from 1 species